rnacentral:rRNA from 1 species
UACGAAGGGGGCUAGCGUUGCUCGGAAUCACUGGGCGUAAAGGGUGCGUAGGCGGGUCUUUAAGUCAGGGGUGAAAUCCUGGAGCUCAACUCCAGAACUGCCUUUGAUACUGAGGAUCUUGAGUUCGGGAGAGGUGAGUGGAACUGCGAGUGUAGAGGUGAAAUUCGUAGAUAUUCGCAAGAACACCAGUGGCGAAGGCGGCUAUCUGGACGACAACUGACGCUGAGGCGCGAAAGCGCGGGGAUCAAACAGG